ACUCCUACGGGAGGCAGCAGCUAAGAAUCUUCCGCAAUGGGGGGAACCCUGACGGAGCGACGCCGCGUGGGCGAAGAAGGCCGCAAGGUUGUAAAGCCCUUUUCUUGACGAAGAAUAAGGCAAGGAGUGGAAUGCCUUGCUGAUGACGUUAGUCGAGGAAGAAGCCCCGGCCAAUUACGUGCCAGCAGCCGCGGUAACACGUAUGGGGCAAGCGUUGUUCGGAAUUACUGGGCGUAAAGGGUGCGCAGGCGGUUCAGCAAGCUUGGUGUUAAAAGCCCCGGCCCAACCGGGGAGCUGCGCUGGGAACUGCUGGGCUGGAGUUCAGGAGGGGAAGCUGGAAUUCCUGGUGUAGGGGUGAAAUCUGUAGAGAUCAGGAAGAACACCGGUGGCGAAGGCGAGCUUCUGGCCAUGGACUGACGCUGAGGCACGAAAGCGUGGGGAGCGAACAGGAUUAGAUACCCUGGUAGUCCACGCCGUAAACGAUGUGCACUAGGUGUUGGGGCGAUGAAAGCCUCGGUGCCGUAGCGAACGUGUUAAGUGCACCGCCUGGGGAGUAUGCUCGCAAGGGUGAAACUCAAAGGAAUUGACGG
rnacentral:rRNA from 1 species